UCCUUAGAUGUUCUGGGCUGCACGCGCGCUACACUGAUGCAUUCAACGAGUUUCUUCCUGGUCCGAGAGGAAUGGGUAACCUUUUGAAAGUGCAUCGUGAUAGGGAUAGACUAUUGCAAUUAUUGGUCUUCAACGAGGAAUUCCUAGUAGACGUAGUUCAUCAGACUGCAUCGAUUACGUCCCUGCCCUUUGUACACACCGCCCGUCGCUCCUACCGAUUGAAUGCUCAGGUGAGCCAUUCGGACUUUCAUCAUGCUGGUUUCCAGUUUUGAUGAAGGAAAGUCUUGCGAACCUUAUCAUUUAGAGGAAGGAGAAGUCGUAACA
rnacentral:rRNA from 1 species